GACGACCGCUGGCGGCGUGCUUAACACAUGCAGGUCGAACGGAAAGGCCCUGCUUUUGUGGGGUGCUCGAGUGGCGAACGGGUGAGUAACACGUGAGUAACCUGCCCUUGACUUUGGGAUAACUUCAGGAAACUGGGGCUAAUACCGGAUAGGAGCUCCUGCUGCAUGGUGGGGGUUGGAAAGUUUCGGCGGUUGGGGAUGGACUCGCGGCUUAUCAGCUUGUUGGUGGGGUAGUGGCUUACCAAGGCUUUGACGGGUAGCCGGCCUGAGAGGGUGACCGGCCACAUUGGGACUGAGAUACGGCCCAGACUCCUACGGGAGGCAGCAGUGGGGAAUAUUGCACAAUGGGCGGAAGCCUGAUGCAGCAACGCCGCGUGCGGGAUGACGGCCUUCGGGUUGUAAACCGCUUUCGCCUGUGACGAAGCGUGAGUGACGGUAAUGGGUAAAGAAGCACCGGCUAACUACGUG
rnacentral:rRNA from 1 species